CCCUCAGCCAUGCCACCCUGCUUAGGAGCCAGCUGAUUAUGGACCGAAGCCUCUACAAACUCUUCACAAUGGAAACCACAUUGUGACAGAGAUUCCUUGUGUCUACUUAUGUUCAGAAGGAUUUUGUAGGAGGCCAUGUAUCAAUGGAGCACCUACACUGGACCCAAAAAACCAAUCCAAGAGAGAGCUUAGUCCCAAGAGCUGAGCUUUGGUCCUAGAAGCGUGUUCAGGAGGUUGUCUCCAGCCCACUGCUCUCAAAUCAACUCAGGGAUUCACAAUCAGAAGAGCCAUCAAGGCUGAUAUUUUAAGGAGGAGCUAAGAAUGAACACUAAGAUGGAUCAAGGUUCAAAGGUUGGAAGAGAGUUCCUUAAUUGGGAAGAGCCAUUAUGAGAAAGAACCCUGGCAGCAUCACACCUGGAGAGGUACUUCACGAAUAUGCGCUGAGUCAUCAACUGGCUGUCGUGACCAAGACCUAAAUGUUCUGGGUGUGCUUAAGCCUUUUGAAAUUAAAACUAAUAUGUGUGGGUAUGCACCUUGUGGUAUGCACUGUAUAGUACUAGGAUCUACUGAUUCUAAAGUGAUAGCAUGGAAAUCCUGUUUUUAGUAUGAUGCUAAUGGCAUCUUCUCAAAAGUACUGUCUUCAAACGAGUUAUUUUUGAUGAUGGGGGAUAAGCUUUAGAGAAAGAGAUAAAAGAGUUUAGGAGGGAGGGACUAACAUCAUCAAGGAAUGAAAAAGAAAAGCACCAAUGAAACAGUCUCUGCCUAUGAAAUAGAAACACAGGAGAGAAGCAGCAGCCAGUUGAUAGGAGGUAGGUUUUUGCAUUAUUUGGAAUCUUGUACACAUGAGUGAUAUUCAGCAGGCCCAGAGAGAUAGGCCUUGGGAUACAAGUAAUGGCCAAACUCUGAUGAAAUAUACUCUUGGGCAUUUUUCUAAUAAGUUUAUGUUUAUUAAAUGAUUCCAGAGUAUAGUAAAGCUCUGGGGCUUUAUCUAACAAAUUGUUCUCUCCUAAAUCUCUCUUAAGAGCUCUGGUUAGAAGCUAGUAGUGUCUCA